CUCCUCCGGGACGAAGCCAUGGUUGCUCGAGCUCUCGACGGGCCAAACCCUCCUCCUCUUCCUUCCAGCGUUCGUCUCCAUGCUGCUCCGCAAUCCCUUGAUUCUCUCCUCAAUUGCAAGGUUUCUUUCUCUAUUUCUCUCGUUCAGAGCUCCUUUUUAGUCGCCAUCGACACGUCGGCGUCGGCGGCGGCGGAAACGGUCAUCUCCUCGGCCCCCUUGACUGGUCAGCAUCAGCUUUGUGGAAUUGGAAGCUAGGAACCUCAAGUAUCCAAUUACAGAGAGACUGAGGUAAAAUCGAGCAGCAAAAUUUCUAAGAGAAAAUGGAAAGCAGAUGAUGCAACUGUUGACUUGGAAAAUCGGACUUGUACUUUUUCAGUCCCUGAACAUCCUCCUUUAACCUGCUUUUCAACAAGAAGUUGAAUCAGAUGUCUGCAGAUGAUUUCAUAAAGACCAAUCGCGGAAUUGAAUGAUGGAAAGGAUUUGCCUGAAGAAUUUCUGAGAUCCUUAAAAUGAAAAAAAUCUGAAGGAAUGAAAUGACAGAAGAUGAUCCAGCUUCCCAGCAAACUCACACACUGAAUUCUAAUAAAAUGUUAGGAUUGGAUGAUAUUUUGCAUGUUGCAGUCCAUAAGAGAGGAGUCAUCAGGCUAAAAUCUAGUAUUUUUUUCAAUAGUUACAAGGCUUUCUUAAAUUUGUUUGAAUUAUAGCUACAUGAAAAGUAGAUGAUGUAGCUAUUAAAGUAAAUACUAAUUCUACAUUUAAUUUUGAACUUGGAAGAAUAUAUGUAUUUGAAUAUAUAUAAAUCUAAGUUUCUAGUGAGUUUU